rnacentral:rRNA from 1 species
UCAGGAUAAACGCUGGCGGCGUGCCUUAGGCAUGCAAGUCGAACGGCUGAGUCGCAAGACAAGACAGUGGCAGACGGGUGAGUAACGCGUAGGAAUCUAUCCCUGGGUGGAGCAUAGCCCCUCGAAAGAGGGGGUAAUUCUCCAUAGUUCUCGUAAGAGUAAAGGACUUAACGGUCCGCCGAGGGGGGAGCCUGCGUCCUAUCAGCUUGUUGGCGGGGUAAAGGCCCACCAAGGCAAUGACGGGUAGCUGGACUGAGAGGUCGAUCGGCCACAACUGCACUGAGACACGGGCAGUACAUCUACGGAUGGCAGCAACCAGGAAUAUUGCGCAAUGGACGAAAGUCUGACGCAGCGACGCCGCGUGGAGGAUGAAGGCCCUCGGGUUGUAAACUCCUUUUGCCAAGACGUUCACAUUUUGGCGAAUAAGCCCCUACUAACUACGUGCCAGAAGUCUCGGUAAUACGUAGGGGGCAAGCGUUAUCCGGAUUUAUUGGGCGUAAAGUGUGCGUAGGCGUUCCAUAAAGUCUUCACUUAAAGACCAGGGCUUACCCCUGGAAGUGGUGAGGAUACUCAUGGAAUUGAGGAUUGGUAGGGAUGCUGGAACAGUUAGUGUAGCAGUGAAAUGCGUUGAUAUUAACUGGAACACCAAGGGCGAAGGCAAGCAUCUGUACUUUUCCUGACGCUGAGGCACGAAAGCUAGGGUAGCGAAACAGAUUAGAUACCUGUGUAGUCCUAGCCGUAAACGAUGUCCGCUGGCUCUUGCCGACUUGUCGGCAGGGGUCCAAGCUAACGCAUUAAGCGGACCGCCUGGGGAGUACGGCCGCAAGGCUAAAACUCAAAGGAAUUGACGGGGACCCGCACAACUGGUGGAGCGUGU